UGGCCUUAUAAGCCGGAGAUCGUGGGUUCGAACCCCACUG
rnacentral:tRNA from 16 species